rnacentral:rRNA from 1 species
UACGUAGGGGGCGAGCGUUGUCCGGAUUUAUUGGGCGUAACGAGCGUGUAGGCGGCUUUACAGGUCCGUUGUGAAAACUCGAGGCUCAACCUCGAGACGCCGGUGGAAACCGUAAAGCUAGAGUCCGGAAGAGGAGAGUGGAAUUCCUGGUGUAGCGGUGAAAUGCGCAGAUAUCAGGAAGAACACCCGUGGCGAAGGCGGCUCUCUGGGACGGUACUGACGCUGAGACGCGAAAGCGUGGGGAGCGAACAGG